GAUGAAGAACGCAGCAAAAUGCGAUAAGUAAUGUGAAUUGCAGAAUUCAGUGAAUCAUCGAAUCUUUGAACGCACAUUGCGCCCGCCAGUAUUCUGGCGGGCAUGCCUGUUCGAGCGUCAUUUCAACCCUCAAGCACAGCUUGGUGUUGGGACUCGCGUUAAUUCGCGUUCCCCAAAUUGAUUGGCAGUCACGUCGAGCUUCCAUAGCGUAGUAGUAAAACCCUCGUUACUGGUAAUCGUCGCGGCCACGCCGUUAAACCCCAACUUCUGAAUGUUGACCUCGGAUCAGGUAGGAAUACCCGCUGAACUUAAGCAUAUCAAUAAGCGGAGGA
rnacentral:misc_RNA from 1 species